GGCCUGGUGGCCUAAUGGUAAGGCGUUGCUUUCCGGAGUCUGUACCUGUUACAGCGAGACUGGCAAACAUUGCGGGUUCGAGUCCCGUCUGGGUCG
rnacentral:tRNA from 1 species